GUAUAUAUUAUAUAGGCACAACAUUCUAUUAACAUACAUUGGGGUAAAUGAAGCAACAUAGACCUGAAAGGUCUACAAAAAGUGCACAGGUGGAGAUAUAAAGAUGACAAGGCGUGCACAUGCUCCCUAGAGAACCAGCAACAACCCAUCAGGUUUAUUUCAAUAAUGAUCCUUCCGCAGGUUCACCUACGGAAA
rnacentral:misc_RNA from 1 species